GAGAUAGGGGCGAAAGACCAAUCGAACCAUCUAGUAGCUGGUUCCCUCCGAAGUUUCCCUCAGGAUAGCUGGUGCAUUUAAAAAUUAUGUAAAAUAAUCUUAUCUGGUAAAGCGAAUGAUUAGAGGCCUUAGGGUCGAAACGACCUUAACUAUUCUCAAACUUUAAAUGGGUAAGAACCACACCUUUCUUGGUAUGAAGGUGUGGUUGUGAUAAAUGUGCCCAGUGGGCCACUUUUGGUAAGCAGAACUGGCGCUGUGGGAUGAACCAAACGUAAUGUUACGGUGCCCAAAUUGACAACUCAUGCAGAUACCAUGAAAGGCGUUGGUUGCUUAAAACAGCAGGACGGUGACAUGGAAGUCGUAAUCCGCUAAGGAGUGUGUAACAACUCACCUGCCGAAGCAACUAGCCCUUUAAAAUGGAUGGCGCUUAAGUUGUAUACCUAUACAUUACCGCUAAAGUAAAUGGUUUAUAUUCAAUUUCGGUUGGAUUUUAAACUUUGAAACUUUAGUGAGUAGGAGGGUACAAUGGUGUGCAUGGAAGUGUUUGGCGUAAGCCUGCAUGGAGCAGCCAUUGGCACAGAUCUUGGUGGUAGUAGCAAAUAAUCGAAUGAGACCUUGGAGGACUGAAGUGGAGAAGGGUACAAUGGUGUGCUUGGAAGUGUUUGGCGUAAGCCUGCAUGGAGCCGCCAUUGGCACAGAUCUUGGUGGUAGUAGCAAAUAAUCGAAUGAGACCUUGGAGGACUGAAGUGGAGAAGGGUUUCGUGUGAACAGGGUUGAUCACGAGUUAGUCGGUCCUAAGUUCAAGGCGAAAGCUGAAAAUUUUCAAGUUAUAAUUGACAAUUGCAAAAUUGUGUGAUUAAACACUUGAAUAAUU